ensembl:lncRNA uncharacterized LOC115021574
AAUCCACUCUUUACGCAAAUUAACAGUUAUAGGUUAUGUGCUUGCUUAGAUAGAGGUUGAACAUUAGAAACCUUAAAGCAGAAAGUCCUGAAACAUAAGUUGUUGUGGAUAUUAUCGGCCAUCAUGGCUUCGACUCCCUCCACCUCUGCCUUGUCUGCUGUUCUCCGGUGUCGGGGAAAUAUCUGGACCAGGAAUCCGCCGACCAAGCGGCCUGCCGCCUCGGCGUGCAGCCUCGGGCUGGCCGGCGUCUCGCCAGCAGAGCGCGCCCAGUCAAACCAGGCAUCAGCGUGGGAGGCUUUUCUCCAAGGAGACCGUGUUCUGGUGGGAAGAAGAGUGACUGUGGCGUACAAAUCGCCCCGGGUGGAAAUUAUUAAAUUAUGUCAACCAAAAUGUUUGCAAUCCUCAAGGGACACGCGCUCAGAUAUGCCUGGUGUCCAAAACGCGCUGGUGCGUCAGCUGUUACGCAGCCUGUCAGCUAACCUGCCUGGAAUAGACAAAUGUUCUCAAAUAAUUCAAAAGAUUAAACACGAAACAUGUGCUAUACACAUUUGUAAAAUAGUAUGUGUUCAGGAAAUCAAUACAUUUCCAGUUGGUGUUUUAAAAGUGUCCAUAACGUCCUCAUGUUUGGUGGAACAUUCAGGACAAAUACCUUCUUUCGUGUUAACUGGCUGGUCAACACUGAAGAGUACCUGCUUAUCUUUGACUGCUCUAGUGUCAGGAUUUAUGUUUUUGAAGCUGGCGCUGUUGUGGAGGUCCAGCAGCAUCCCCGAUGAUGCGCUUCAGCAUCAAAACAUCAAAAAUAAUGCCCUGCAGGCAAAUGGACAACCUCCUCCAAGGUCAACUCCGGCUCUGGACAAAUGAUCCCAGAGGACAGACCUGACUGAGAGUCCAAGGCCUCAGCACCAAAAAUACACACUAUGAUCUAACCUUAUUUACUGACUUUUACUUGGCUUUCACAAUGCACAGAGCACAUGUGGACUUCAACCCAGUGACAUGAAAACAACUGAUUGUUUUUAGAGCAUUUUUAUUUUUGCUUUAAGGAAAAGCAAGCAAUGCUGUAACAAGAAAUACAAAGUAUAGUAUAUUAAAGUGUAUACAAAGUACAUGUAGUGAAAGGUCAAACUCCUCUAUAAUACUUUUAUACUUUCCAUCUGUUUUAAGGACACUCGCAUUGUUUGUAGUACAUUUUACUUGAAGUAUUGGAGGCCUGCUGCUGGAUAUAAUAAAUAUUCAAAUAUAAUAAUAUUUUUUUGGUGUAUGAUUUGCACCAAAAGCUUAUUUUACAAACAUGGAUAUUAUAUUUUGGAUUUCCCUACAAGUAUGCAGUGCAUGAGGUCACUUAGAUAAAUGUGGCCUACUUUUAUACUUUCACCUGUGCAAGAGUUGUACUUGAGUAGCCUAACAGAUUUUGUGUUUGUAAAAUAUUUAUCCCCAAAGUAAUCAGUAACCAUAGCUGUCAAAUAAAUACAGUGGAGUAUAAAGUCUAAUGUUUCCAUCUGAAAUAAGAUAAGAUAAGACAAUCCGUUAUUAGUCCCACCAUUUGCAGUGUUACAGCCACAGAGGCACAGUGCAGCGACAAGAAGAAGUCCAAAAAGCAAGAUAUUAUAAAUAAGUAAACAGUAAAAACAAUUAAUAAAUAAGUAAACAGUAUAAAACUAAAUAUAGUAGAGGGAAUGAAUAGUUGAAUUCAAAUUGUUACACAUAUGAUAUUGCACAUUAAUAAACAAAUGAAUUGUGAGUGUUGGUAUGUGUGGUGUACUGGGAGUAGUGCUGUCACUGUUGUCAGGUAAAAGCAUGAAUGAGAGUAAAAUUAAUGUAGUAAAAUAUGAGUACGUCUAAAUUAAAGGCUACUUAAAUGCAGCACUUGAAUGAAUGUAUUCAGAUCCUUUAUUUUCAUUUAAUGUUACUUUGUACUUACACUCACACACCCAUUUCAGAGGGAAAUAUAGGCAUUUAUUUUGGACUGCAGGUACUGGCUACUUUGUAGAGUCAGACUAUUAAUACAAAAAUAUAAUCAGUAUCAAGUAUUUAUUAGUUAGUAACAAAUCAUUACCUUUACCUGUUGCAACAUUAGU